rnacentral:rRNA from 1 species
AGAGUUUGAUCAUGGCUCAGAUUGAACGCUGGCGGCAGGCCUAACACAUGCAAGUCGAGCGGGGGUAGCAAUACCCUAGCGGCGAACGGGUGAGGAAUGCUUGGGAAUCUGCCUGGUAGUGGGGGGAUAACGUUCCGAAAGGAACGCUAAUACCGCAUACGUCCUACGGGAGAAAGGGGGGGAUCUUCGGACCUCUCGCUAUCAGAUGAGCCCAAGCCGGAUUAGCUAGUUGGUGGGGUAAAGGCCCACCAAGGCGACGAUCCGUAGCUGGUCUGAGAGGAUGAUCAGCCACACUGGAACUGAGACACGGUCCAGACUCCUACGGGAGGCAGCAGUGGGGAAUAUUGGACAAUGGGCGAAAGCCUGAUCCAGCCAUGCCGCGUGUGUGAAGAAGGCCUUCGGGUUGUAAAGCACUUUAAGCGGGGAGGAAGGUUCGCUACUUAAUACGUAGCGGAAUUGACGUUACCCGCAGAAUAAGCACCGGCUAACUCUGUG